rnacentral:snRNA from 1 species
GGAUGUGAGGUCAUCUGGCUGCAACGUCUGCCACCCCAUUCAUCGCCCGGGUUUAUUUGGCUGAUCUGGCUGGCUAGAUGUGUGUUCCCUUCCUCCCUCACUGCUCCAUGUGCGUCCCUCCUGAAGCUGUGCGCUCGGUCAAAGAGGACAGUCUUCCCCAAUAGAGACGGACCGGUCUUCGGUCGAGGGUAUACGAGUAGCUGUGCUCCCCUGCUAGAACCUUCAAACAAGCGCUCAAGAAAUGUAAUGGAGGGAGUCGGGCUGUAGCGCAGCGGGUUAAGUGCAGGUGGCGCAAAACAC